GAGGCGGAGGGACUGGAUGGGAAGAUACUCCAGAGGCAGCCUUGACAGGCUGUUCAGACUGAUGCACAGAGUUGCCGGGGGGAGAAGGCGGGAGGGGCCAGGAGUGUUUCCUGGUGUCUGGCUUCCGCAAGUGGGUGGUGGGUGUCAGUCACGGUGAUGGGGGGACGCAGGUCUGGGUGGAAGAUGGUGAGGUGGCUCUGCCAUGUUGAGUUGGAGGAACCUGCAAGACCCAGGAGUGGAGAUGCGGACUCAGCAAUGGGUCAGAGAUGCUCGAGCAACACGGGGUUGGCGGUGGAGAGCUGGAGUCAGCAGCAUGGGACUUUCAGCCAGGCUUCCCCUUCCAGCAAGAUGACCCUGAGAAUGUGCGAGGAGUGAGAAGCGGCAGCCGGGGCUGACCCCGAGGAAAGGCAUCCAACCAGUGGGCUCGGAGCGGGGUGCACGGGGGACCACAGCCCAGCGCGGAAGACCACAGAGGAAGGACUGAAGACUUUCACAUCACCUGGCGGUGUGAAACAUAAAUUCUUGCUGCUUGGAAAAUAUGAAACAGCAGAGAACUAGGAUCAGUUUGGAAACACCCAAUUCCGGCAUCUCACAGAGAGAACUCUGCAACCAGGUCGUGGGGGUCCACGUU
rnacentral:lncRNA from 1 species